rnacentral:sRNA from 1 species
AUUUAGAGAAAAUAUUAUAGAAACCCUUUCAAAUGACUUUCAGUGUGACCGGAAAAUGGAGAAACGUAGUUUAGAAAAACAUCACACAACUUCCUUCUCCCCAACACACGCACAUUUCUGGGUGUCUCUGUAGUGCUUUAGAUAGAGUCUUUUUGGGGUGACUGAGUGUCUUUUUCCUCCUAGUAUUGAGCAUUUCUUCUAAUGCAGACAUACAAAGGGAUUUCCAAAGGCCAUCAUGCGCAGCCCUUUGUGAGUAGUCACAAUAUCUAAAAUAGAAGGAGUCCUUCCUUCUCGCCAAAGCUGAAGAUGAUUUUGUGCAUGUUCAUUUAUGGGGUUUUAAAGAAAGCACCAUGCUGACUCUUGUUAUUCUCCCAGUGGCACUGGCAAACUGUGUGUAGGUGGUUUUUUAUCUUGUACUAGAGCUGAUAUUAGUAAUAACUGAUGGCUUGCCGAGGGCAGGACGCUCUAGAGUGUUCACUGCUUUGCGUACAUCAGCUCAUCUAAUUGAACAGUCAGAACAACUACAAGAAAGGAUAAGGAACUGGAAUGAGGUUACGUCACUUGUCCCAGGCCACACAAUCAGUAAGUGACAGAGCUGGCACUGGAACCUGAUCUGCCUGACUCCAAAGCCUGUGCUCUUAACCACUGUGCUCCACGCUUCUCUCUGGGCUGAGACACAUGCGGCCUACUGGACCGCCCUGCUUGCCGGGGGUGGCGGGCUCAGCAUCUUGCACGAGUGCCUCGUGAGGGCAGAGAUCUGGUCUGUUUUUCUCUACUCUAUCACGGGCAUCUAGUAGAGACUAAGGAAAUGAUGAUUGAGUGAAUCGAAGCAGUUAAAUGAAGGGUUCUGGCAUAGUUUGGGAGAUGGACUACAGCUCAUUUUCCAGAGUGGUUUUCCUGACCUUAGCCUUGACACUGGGGACUUGCAUUUCUGGACUUCCAGGUAUUAAAACCAGAUGGACGCUGUGGCAUGCAAUAGGACUGGAAGAUUUUACUUUAACCUAAGACUAUGAGGAAUAGGCUCUGGGUCAUGGAGAGUCACUAUCUAGUCCCCUCUAAAAUCUGGAGCCUUUGAGAUCAGGGCCCAAGGCGGCCAAACGUAGUGCCACCAGAUGGUCUUUGGAGCUGAGUGCUUGCAGGUAUUAGAGAAAGCCUGCUGAAUUCACACUCUCCUAGAGUUUUUAUUGUUGUAUCUCUUCUCUCUACAAAGUCUGUUUCAAAACACUGACCACACCUACCAAGAAGGGAUGUUGGAAGAGCAACCAAAUACAUGUACCUUGAAUUCCGAAGGCACAAGUCACAACUGCAUUUGAAAAUCUCAGUGGAUGGUUGCUUCUCUUUAACUUCUUUUCUGUGAUUUUGAUGAAUCUCAGCUGCUUGCAUGUAUUUGGGCUAGGAUUUGUACAGAAGGCAGCUGUGUGCCACAUCCAAAAAGUGUUUGUUGUAAAAUAUCUGUGACAUAGUAUCAUAAUAACGUUUUAAGAUAAAGGACAAAGACAGCAGAGGCAUCAGCCAGACGCGCCAGGUUAAUUGGUGAAUGUAGUGGAUUAGUAAUGACAAUGAGAAAAGCCACCAUUCCCUGAGCACUUCUUAUACACUAAGCACCAUGCUAUUGUUGCUCGUGAAUGGAUCCCUUAUUAAUCCUUAUGAAUCCUAUGAGAUAAGUAUCCUUAUCCUCAUUGUGUAGCUGAGGAAACGGGUUUGGAGUGGAUUGUGACUUGUCCCUGGUUGCCAUGAUUAUAAUUCAAGUCAGCUUUACCAUAUGCAGCACUCGCACUGUUUUGCUCUGUGUUGGCCACCUGAAGCUUCCAAUAUCCUUUCUUCUUCCAGUUAUUGCAUUUUCCUGAAGCCUAGUUUUAUUACAUGAUUGAUCAUCUGGACAGACCUCUUCAGACUUCGACACAUCUCUUUUGCCACCAAAUCUUAUCUGCUCCUUUGAGUCUCUCUUGCCUAGUCUAUAGAAGGGGCAUAUGUGUGGAGAGUCUAAUAUGCAAGUUGUUGUUUAAAUAAUAUUUUCUGAUAAUAUUGAUCCAUUGAGCUCUUUUAGAUCAUGCUGGGCCAAGCACUGUCAGCCUUCUGGUGGGAAGACCUUCCAGAUGACAAGCAUGGCGCUCAUUGGUUGAACUGAGAGGGGUCUUUUCCUUGGCCACUUCUCCUUGCCCCCUCGACUCUCAGCUUGAGCUCCAGUCUUUUUGAGAGCACCAGUGGUUUCUAGUUGUUUAGUUGGCCAUAUGUGAGGCUAUAUUGGAAAGGAAGAGAAAGAGAGUAUCAGUUGAGUGCUAGGCAUCACACAUACAUUAUUUUAGUUAACCUUCCCAGCUCUGUGAAAUGCAGAUAACAUCUCUAUCUAGGCUCCAGGAAGAUCAGUAACUUGCCUAGGUUACACAGCUGCCAGAACAGGAAUUCGAACUCAAGUUUGCCAGCUUCCAGAGGCCACAUUCUUUCCAUUUUGCCACACGCACGUUUACCAUUUACGAUUUACUCCAUUGUCAGCCUUCCGAAAGGACAUGAGAUUGGUGGGACUUUGUUAAUGCCAAUCAAGAUGCCACUCGCAGUGAAUGAUCCCUGUUCCUUUAAGAACCAGGCUGAAGCCGGGCUGUUUUGGGACCUUUACAAAAUGGAACUUUUCUGCCUGACCUAAUUGCCAGGAUAGCCGACUGAGCCCAGAUAGUUUUGUGUUCACCAAGCAACUGUGGACCAACCUUAGCUUCAGGAAAACAGUGGUAAAAAAAGAUCGAUGAGGAACACUGCCAAAGAAAUACCCUUUCUUCCCCGACUGAAAGAUGGCUUUGUCCGUUGAGUUGAAAACUAUUGAGUCCUGCCUUCCUCGCUUUUCAUCACGUGGCUUCUGUUUUUGAAUUCCUUUUUGUUUUCAGUGAUCCCACCACCAGAUAUCCACAUUGACAGCUAUGGUGAAAAUUAUCUAAGCUUCACCCUGACCAUGGAGAGUGAUAUCAAGGUAAAUGGCUAUGUGGUGAACCUUUUCUGGGCAUUUGACACCCACAAGCAAGAGAGGAGAACUUUGAACUUCCGAGGAAGCAUAUUGUCACACAAAGUUGGCAAUCUGACAGCUCAUACAUCCUAUGAGAUUUCUGCCUGGGCCAAGACUGACUUGGGGGAUAGCCCUCUGGCAUUUGAGCAUGUUAUGACCAGAGGGGUUCGCCCACCUGCACCUAGCCUCAAGGCCAAAGCCAUCAACCAGACUGCAGUGGAAUGUACCUGGACCGGCCCCCGGAAUGUGGUUUAUGGUAUUUUCUAUGCCACGUCCUUUCUUGACCUCUAUCGCAACCCGAAGAGCUUGACUACUUCACUCCACAACAAGACGGUCAUUGUCAGUAAGGAUGAGCAAUAUUUGUUUCUGGUCCGUGUAGUGGUACCCUACCAGGGGCCGUCCUCUGACUACGUUGUAGUGAAGAUGAUCCCGGACAGCAGGCUUCCACCCCGUCACCUGCAUGUGGUUCAUACGGGCAAAACCUCCGUGGUCAUCAAGUGGGAAUCACCGUAUGACUCUCCUGACCAGGACUUGUUGUAUGCAAUUGCAGUCAAAGAUCUCAUAAGAAAGACUGACAGGAGCUACAAAGUAAAAUCCCGUAACAGCACUGUGGAAUACACCCUUAACAAGUUGGAGCCUGGCGGGAAAUACCACAUCAUUGUCCAACUGGGGAACAUGAGCAAAGAUUCCAGCAUAAAAAUUACCACAGGU